ACAAAAUUGCUAUAGUUACAAUAUAGUUAUUAUACGGAUAUAUAUGUGAAGACGAUAACAUUAUUAUUAAAAGGUAACAAAAUAUUUAGCAUGAAAAGCAAAAAAGUUGACUUACGACUCAAUAAUCAUGUAAAAAAAUACAUGCUUCAGAAUAGUUAGCAGAUAACGUAUUAUCAGGAUAACAUGAUAACAAAUAUCUCGGUAAUACUUAUUAGGUUA
rnacentral:sRNA from 1 species